rnacentral:lncRNA from 1 species
CUCUAUAGAUGUCUUUAUGUUCUAUGAGUAGCAUUAAAUUCAUUGAUUGUAGCUAUUUAUAAUGAGUCAAUAGCAAUAUCAGAAGAAAUAUGAACAUUAAUAGUAAUACAUGGAUAUUUAGUUGUGAUUGCCACUUAAUAUCAAUAGAAAUUUCACCACCUGUAGGACUAGCAGUCCCAAGUAGGGGAUAAGUAUUUGCGAAUGGAAUGUCAAUUCAUAAAAUGCAACAUUAAGAGAAAUGUACACCU